GACGAACGCUGGCGGCGUGCUUAACACAUGCAAGUCGAACGAUGAAGCUGGAGCUUGCUCCGGUGGAUUAGUGGCGAACGGGUGAGUAACACGUGAGCAAUCUGCCCUUGACUCUGGGAUAACUGCGGGAAACUGUAGCUAAUACCGGAUAUGAGGCUCGAAGGCAUCUUCGGGUCUGGAAAGAAUUUCGGUCAAGGAUGAGCUCGCGGCCUAUCAGCUUGUUGGUGAGGUAAUGGCUCGCCAAGGCGACGACGGGUAGCCGGCCUGAGAGGGUGACCGGCCACACUGGGACUGAGACACGGCCCAGACUCCUACGGGAGGCAGCAGUGGGGAAUAUUGCACAAUGGGCGAAAGCCUGAUGCAGCAACGCCGCGUGAGGGAUGAAGGCCCUCGGGUUGUAAACCUCUUUUAGCAGGGAAGAAGCGAAAGUGACGGUACCUGCAGAAAAAGCACCGGCUAACUACGUGCCAGCCGCCGCAGUAA
rnacentral:rRNA from 1 species